rnacentral:rRNA from 1 species
UACGUAGGGGGCAAGCGUUGUCCGGAUUUAUUGGGCGUAAAGAGCGUGUAGGCGGCCAGGUAGGUGGGUUGUGAAAACUGGAGGCUCAACCUUCAGAGGUCGACCCAAACCCCCUGGCUAGAGUCCGGAAGAGGAGAGUGAAAUUCCUGGUGUAGCGGUGAAAUGCGCAGAUAUCAGGAAGAACACCCGUGGCGAAGGCGGCUCUCUGGGACGGUACUGACGCUGAGACGCGAAAGCGUGGGGAGCGAACAGG